CGUUAAAACACUGGUUCGCGUUCGAUCACCGAAGUUAAGCAACGGCAGUCCUGGUUACUACUUGGAUGGGUGACCGCUUGGGAAUACCAAGUGAUGUA